ACGAACGCUGGCGGCGUGCCUAAUACAUGCAAGUAGAACGCUGAAGAGAGGAGCUUGCUCUUCUUGGAUGAGUUGCGAACGGGUGAGUAACGCGUAGGUAACCUGCCUUGUAGCGGGGGAUAACUAUUGGAAACGAUAGCUAAUACCGCAUAACAAUGGAUGACACAUGUCAUUUAUUUGAAAGGGGCAAUUGUUCCACUACAAGAUGGACCUGCGUUGUAUUAGCUAGUAGGUGAGGUAAUGGCUCACCUAGGCGACGAUACAUAGCCGACCUGAGAGGGUGAUCGGCCACACUGGGACUGAGACACGGCCCAGACUCCUACGGGAGGCAGCAGUAGGGAAUCUUCGGCAAUGGGGGCAACCCUGACCGAGCAACGCCGCGUGAGUGAAGAAGGUUUUCGGAUCGUAAAGCUCUGUUGUAAGUCAAGAACGGGUGUGAGAGUGGAAAGUUCACACUGUGACGGUAGCUUACCAGAAAGGGACGGCUAACUACGUGCCAGCAGCCGCGGUAAUACGUAGGUCCCGAGCGUUGUCCGGAUUUAUUGGGCGUAAAGCGAGCGCAGGCGGUUUGAUAAGUCUGAAGUUAAAGGCUGUGGCUCAACCAUAGUUCGCUUUGGAAACUGUCAAACUUGAGUGCAGAAGGGGAGAGUGGAAUUCCAUGUGUAGCGGUGAAAUGCGUAGAUAUAUGGAGGAACACCGGUGGCGAAAGCGGCUCUCUGGUCUGUAACUGACGCUGAGGCUCGAAAGCGUGGGGAGCGAACAGGAUUAGAUACCCUGUUAGUCCACGCCGUAAACGAUGAGUGCUAGGUGUUGGAUCCUUUCCGGGAUUCAGUGCCGCAGCUAACGCAUUAAGCACUCCGCCUGGGGAGUACGACCGCAAGGUUGAAACUCAAAGGAAUUGACGGGGGCCCGCACAAGCGGUGGAGCAUGUGGUUUAAUUCGAAGCAACGCGAAGAACCUUACCAGGUCUUGACAUCCCGAUGCUAUUUCUAGAGAUAGAAAGUUACUUCGGUACAUCGGUGACAGGUGGUGCAUGGUUGUCGUCAGCUCGUGUCGUGAGAUGUUGGGUUAAGUCCCGCAACGAGCGCAACCCCUAUUGUUAGUUGCCAUCAUUCAGUUGGGCACUCUAGCGAGACUGCCGGUAAUAAACCGGAGGAAGGUGGGGAUGACGUCAAAUCAUCAUGCCCCUUAUGACCUGGGCUACACACGUGCUACAAUGGUUGGUACAACGAGUUGCGAGUCGGUGACGGCGAGCUAAUCUCUUAAAGCCAAUCUCAGUUCGGAUUGUAGGCUGCAACUCGCCUACAUGAAGUCGGAAUCGCUAGUAAUCGCGGAUCAGCACGCCGCGGUGAAUACGUUCCCGGGCCUUGUACACACCGCCCGUCACACCACGAGAGUUUGUAACACCCGAAGUCGGUGAGGUAACCUUUUGGAGCCAGCCGCCUAAGGUGGGACAGAUGAUUGGGGUG
rnacentral:rRNA from 1 species